UACCUAAACCUAAAUUAAUUUAGGCAUGGUUUCUCAAGACCCAACGAAGACACUGAACUCCACGUUCAGCGACUCUUCGUUGGGCUAUACCGGGAAACUGGUAUAGGGUCGUAAGACCU
rnacentral:sRNA from 1 species